rfam:Cavia porcellus supercont2_10 genomic scaffold, whole genome shotgun sequence.
GGGGGCAUAGCUCAGGGGUAGAGGAUUUGACUGCAGAUCAAGAGGUCCCCGGUUCAAAUCCGGGUGCCCCCU